AGUGAACGCUGGCGGCAUGCUUUACACAUGCAAGUCGAACGGUAACAGGCCUUCGGGUGCUGACGAGUGGCGAACGGGUGAGUAAUGCAUCGGAACGUGCCCAAUCGUGGGGGAUAACGUAGCGAAAGUUACGCUAAUACCGCAUAAGCCCUGAGGGGGAAAGUGGGGGACCGCAAGGCCUCACGCGAAUGGAGCGGCCGAUGUCAGAUUAGCUAGUUGGUGGGGUAAAGCCCACCAAGGCGACGAUCUGUAGCGGGUCUGAGAGGAUGAUCCGCCACACUGGGACUGAGACACGGCCCAGACUCCUACGGGAGGCAGCAGUGGGGAAUUUUGGACAAUGGGCGCAAGCCUGAUCCAGCCAUGCCGCGUGCGGGACGAAGGCCUCGGUUGUAACGACUUCUA
rnacentral:rRNA from 1 species